rnacentral:rRNA from 1 species
CCUACGGGAGGCAGCAGUAGGGAAUAUUGCACAAUGGAGGAAACUCUGAUGCAGCGACGCCGCGUGAGUGACGAAGGCCUUCGGGUUGUAAAGCUCUGUUCUCUGGGAAAUUGUACCAGAGAAGAAAGGACCGGCUAACUUCGUGCCAGCAGCCGCGGUAAGACGAGGGGUCCAAGCGUUGUUCGGAAUCAUUGGGCGUAAAGCGGGUGUAGGUGGCUCUAUAAGUCAGGAGUGAAAGCCCCAAGCUUAACUUGGGAAGUGCUUUUGAUACUGCAGAGCUUGAAUGUGGGAGAGGAUAGUAGAAUUCCAGGUGUAGUGGUGAAAUACGUAGAUAUCUGGAGGAAUACCGGAGGCGAAGGCGGCUAUCUGGCCCAAAUGACACUGAGACCCGAAAGCGUGGGGAUCAAACAGGAUUAGAUACCCUUGUAGUC